rnacentral:rRNA from 1 species
GCAGGAAAAGAAAUCAACCGAGAUUCCCAAAGUAGUGGCGAGCGAAAUGGGAUGAGCCUUGUACUCUUUAUUUGUAUUGUUAGCCGAACGCUCUGGAAAGUGCGGCCAUAGCAGGUGAUAGCCCUGUAGGCGAAAACAGUAUGAAAGAACUAGGUGUACGACAAGUAGGGCGGGACACGUGAAAUCCUGUCUGAAGAUGGGGGGACCAUCCUCCAAGGCUAAAUACUCGUGAUCGACCGAUAGUGAACCAGUACCGUGAGGGAAAGGCGAAAAGAACCCCGGGAGGGGAGUGAAAUAGAUCCUGAAACCGCAUGCAUACAAACAGUCGGAGCCUCGUAAGGGGUGACGGCGUACCUUUUGUAUAAUGGGUCAGCGACUUACGUUCAGUAGCAAGCUUAACCGUAUAGGGCAGGCGUAGCGAAAGCGAGUCCGAAUAGGGCGUUCAGUUGCUGGGCGUAGACCCGAAACCAGGUGAUCUAUCCAUGGCCAGGAUGAAGGUGCGGUAACACGUACUGGAGGUCCGAACCCACUAACGUUGAAAAGUUAGGGGAUGAGCUGUGGAUAGGGGUGAAAGGCUAAACAAACCUGGAAAUAGCUGGUUCUCUCCGAAAACUAUUUAGGUAGUGCCUCGUGUCUCACCUUCGGGGGUAGAGCACUGUCAUGGUUGGGGGGUCUAUUGCAGAUUACCCCGCCAUAGCAAACUCCGAAUACCGAAGAGUGCAAUCACGGGAGACAGACAUCGGGUGCUAACGUCCGGUGUCAAGAGGGAAACAACCCAGACCGCCAGCUAAGGUCCCCAAAUAUGGCUAAGUGGGAAACGAAGUGGGAAGGCUAAAACAGUCAGGAGGUUGGCUUAGAAGCAGCCACCCUUUAAAGAAAGCGUAAUAGCUCACUGAUCGAGUCGUCCUGCGCGGAAGAUGUAACGGGGCUAAGCCAUAUACCGAAGCUGCGGAUGCGUGCUUGCACGCAUGGUAGGAGAGCGUUCCGUAAGCCUGCGAAGGUGCCUUGUAAAGGGUGCUGGAGGUAUCGGAAGUGCGAAUGCUGACAUGAGUAGCGAUAAAGGGGGUGAAAGGCCCCCUCGCCGUAAGCCCAAGGUUUCCUACGCAACGUUCAUCGGCGUAGGGUGAGUCGGCCCCUAAGGCGAGGCAGAAAUGCGUAGCUGAUGGGAAGCAGGUCAAUAUUCCUGCACC